GGCUUCCUGGUGCUUACCACAGUGUUCUUACACUGAGUGUAUAGAAAGAGGAGACAAAGUAGACCUACCCCAUAUACACCUCAUCCCAGGCCCUGUACCUGGUCGGUAUCGUGAAUGGGGAGACAUGG
rnacentral:snoRNA from 1 species